rnacentral:rRNA from 1 species
AGACGUCUACAUUAGAUACCCGGGUAGUCCCAGCCGUAAACUAUGCGCGUUAGGUGUAAUCGGUGACCACGAGUUACCGAGGUGCCGAAGGGAAACCGUGAAACGUGCCGCCUGGGAAGUACGGUCGCAAGGCUGAAACUUAAAGGAAUUGGCGGGGAGCACCACAACGGGUGGAGCCUGCGGUUUAAUUGGACUCAACGCCGGGAAGCUCACCGGAUAAGACAGCGGAAUGAUUGCCGGGCUGAAGACUCUGCAUGACUAGCUG